rnacentral:rRNA from 1 species
GACGAACGCUGGCGGCGUUCUUAACACAUGCAAGUCGAACGGCAAGGCCCUGCUUUUGUUGUUUGCUCGAGUGGCGAACGGGUGCGUAACAUUUGAGUAACCUGCCCUUGACUUUUGGAUAACUUCAGUAAACUGGGGCUAAUCCCGGAUAGGAGCUCCUGCUGCAUGGUGGUGGUUGUAAAGUUUCGGCGGUUGGGGCUGGAGGCGCGGAUUAUCAGCUUGUUGGUGGGGUAGUGGCUUACCCAGGCGGUGACGGGUAGCCGGCCUGUGAGGGUGACCGGCCGCAAUGGCAUCGAGCUACCGCCCGGAUGCCUUCGGGAGGCAGAGGUGGGGGAUAGUGGACAAUGGGCGGAAGCCUGAUGGAGCAGGGCGGGGGGAGGGAUGACGGCCGGCGGGUUGUAAACUGAGAUGGCAGGAGACGAAGCGUGAGUGAGGGGAAUGGUCAAGGAAGCAAGGAGUAACUACGU